UUUAUACAUCAACCCAGAGACUAAUCAAUCCCUGGACAAGAGGAUUUGUCCGAUAUCACCCUGGUGCCCCGGCUCUGACCUUCGACCUCAUGGCGAUUGGUUGUUUGUACUGUCAGUGAUCCAGGAAAUCAAUCUCAUUCUGGUUUUCAGCACAUUUGGACCCUCAGGUAGAGCUGAGAUGAGAAGGUGAAGACAAUAAAGACGCGUUUCUACAGUGUCAAAGAAUGGACAUCUAGAAUGCGGCUUUGUAGAGAGACAGCGUGACCCGGGAUUUCCACCGCAUCCGGAACAACUCCGAUCUGGAACAGCUGCGAUUUUCGCCGUACGCCAUCUCUACCGGAUAUGUUUGUGAGGCGAAUUUGGUGGCAGAUUAGCAGCAGGAAUCAGGAGAUCACAUGAGAACUCACGGAUUCACGUACAAUCGCAUGAUAACGAGUUGUCUUUAGCCACAUAGGCUGAAUCAGCAUCUCCUCAUCCAUGGUGUCAUCGGGGUGAAACGACGUCUAAAAACCUUUCACUUGUUCGUCUCCGCCCGUUUGCAUGGUGUGAAAUACGAUCCUCCUGAAACACGGAGUGUUUUAUUUUGAAAAGAAGCCGGAUGUUUUAUUUUGUGUCUGUGCCCGACUUCCUUUCCAGCACGGGUUAAUCUGUGCUGAAUUUAUCUGGCAUGCUCUGGCGUCCAGAAAAAUAGAACUCUUGCGAUCAGCUGAGGAGUCCGGCGAUCCGCAGAGGAACGAAAAGAAGUCGGUGGAAAUUGACACGUUAACUUAAAUGGUAACGAUCAGCUAAGAUCGGAGGAUACGACCUUUUCAUAGCCAUUCCAGAUGAGGUGGAAAUUGGUGGUUAGAUUUAGCUUAGCUUCAACACGAGUGUCGAAGACAUUAGAUUCCAUUUUAAAGAAGGUAAACAGGUCAAGUCCACGAAUACUCCUGAGAUACUUUUGUUAGAAAUGAAUUCAGAGAGCUCCCCUCCAUCCGUAAAAAGAGCUUUUUUUAUCUUUAAGAAUCGUGGAUUGAGUCCAUUAACUUGAACGGUUACGAUCGGCGGAUACGGCCUUUUCGUAGCCGUUCAGGAUGCGGUGGAAACUGGGGGUUAAAUAUUCAGUAGCAGAAACUCGACCCUGUUCAGCUCAUCUCAGAGUCUCGUUGGUUUGAUAGACUCUGAUGUACUGAGAGAAGGCUUUAAUAUGUGAUGAGGUUUUAACGAUGGAAACAACAAUCAUAAAUGUCGGUUAAACAGCCUGUAAAAGUUUGUCGUCGUUGACCCGAACACACAGCUCUGAGGCAGUGAAGUCCAGCAGCCUCCACCAGGUCAUGUGACUGUGACCUUUGUGAAUGGCAGUGCAGAGGCUGCAGCUCGCCAAUGUGAGCGGAGAGUAAAUUAGCUCAGGCAGGAUACAGAUAAUGACCCUGCAGCCUUGCUCAGCACCCACACUAUACCAAGAUUUAAAAAAAUACCCACCCACCCCUCCUCCUCUGAGUUAAUGGACGCAUGGAUUUUUCUUCUUUUUACCAUCCAAUUUAUCUCAUUCUUAUUGGCAUUACCCUUUUGCGUUGGUCUUUCAGCGGGGGAGGAGGGAAGGCCGGGCGAAACACGAGACAGUAAUGAGAUUUCGCAGACGUUGCAGCAUGUAGAAUUUCUGAUGAUCAUAUUACACUUUGUCGAUAACCAGCAGAACGUAUUAAAUCAGGCCUUCAGCUGGAUCAAGUGGCGUGAUUACAUGACCCACUUUUUAUGUCCUUUGUUAAAGUGGAGGUAGACGCACUCGGCCCUUUUUCUUCUCCAAUCAACCCCCGAGAUGAGAUUAUCGGUUAAAGCAUCACUCAAUAAUAUCAUCUCAGUGUGUAAUAGGGUAAAAGCAGAGAGGAAUAUGACAGUUUAAGACGUCCUUUAAUGUCCAUUUGUUUUUCCAUGAUAUCAUUCGUGACUCACAAGAGGAGCAGCAUUACUCAUGUUUAAAAAAACGCAGUUAAGAUUAAUACAAGACGGCAGUAAUGAAAUAUUUACGCCAAAAUGUCAAAACAAAUUAUUAAUUGUUCCAAAAAAGACAUUGACUUCUGCCAGGAGGCUUCAAAAGGAGCCAUAAACAAACCUCAACCAAAACGCCACUCUAUUGGCUCAUCAUUUCUUUAUGGAAAUACAAUCAGAGCAAGACGCUUAGGCAGAAGAACUACCGCGUCUGCAGAGAAAAAUGAUUAAUAUGAUUAUUACUUCAAGGAAAUGAUAAAGUAAUGAUCAUAAAUGUUCUUCCUUGAGCUGCGUCACCCCGCUGUAGUCCGUAAUGGACUGGCCUGAGGUCUCACUACAAACAAACAGCUGCUGGAAGAGAGUAGGUGAGUUGUGUUUAGUCUCUUUGCUAAAGAAAUGAGUCAAAGUUAAAAAGAUGUUUGGUGUCUAGUACUAUGGCUGGGACCCUAUAUGUACUAACCUCAGUAGAUCAUGGUGUAGUUCCGUUUAGUAACAGAACCUCAUUGGAAAAUUAGCUGAUUUAACUUCACUGUGUUCUUGUUCAAAUGUAUUAACUCAACAGCACAUAUAUCCAUACUUGUUAACAAAAUCAUGAUUUUAUUGAUAAUUCUGCUAAAAAAAAAAACACCUUUACCUUUUUAUUUUACAACAGUAGAAGUUUCUUGGCCCAGCUUUUUGACUACAGAAGUGAAGAAACGCCCCUGCUUAAGUUUCUGUUUUCUUAGUUAGAGUUAGAACAACUCUGAAUAUAGUACUAUGUCUGUGACCCUAUAUCUCCUGUUGAUGAAGUUAGGUGCUGUUCUGAGCAUUAUUUGUGGUUAUAGAGUGGCGUUUUGGUUGAGUGUGUGGCUCUCUGUAUUACUAUCAUGCAGUCGUUAUUAAAGUUGGUAUAACUAGAGAAGCAAGCGGUCGGCAACAUUCAUCUCUGGAGGGGGGGUCUAACUCGGUGUUACAGUGUGUUUGACCCUAACUUAAUUUUACGCUGGAAUAUCCCUUUAAUGCUAAUCCCUGUGGAAAGCUAACAGGAUUACAAAUAGUAUGUAUAAAAUAUGAGAAAUCAGUGGAACUAUAUCAUGAAGUUUGGCAAAAGAUGUGACUCAUUUGUUCACCUCCAGGAUGGCGUUGGACGGAUCGGAUCACUUGACCCUAACAAACCAGCCUUCGUUUACAUUUUCCCUCUCAAGGUCAGUUCCACUUUUUCCACAGAUAAGUUUUGAGAGCGUUCCCCGACAGCGGCGUUAUUUUGAAAAAUGUCUUUAUGAAACCUUCUUGAUCAUAAACAAAGGGUGGAAAUUUUCCCCACACGGCGCCUUUUUAACUACCCAUCUGCCGCUCUUUUUAUGGAGUCCUGGUGGUUCCGCGGCGGCUGAAUAGAGCCUGCUAUCUGUCACCCCGCAGACACACUGAAAUAAGCAGGUAAUAUCUAGUGGCUUUUUACAGGCGCAUUACUGUAAUAAUUCUGGAGUGCCAGAUAUUGUUUAGUGGAGUGUUGUUCUGCUCAUAUUGCUCCCUGCUCCAAUUUGACAAAGCCACUUAUGCUCCUCCAUGUUCAGUCAUUUCCACUCGGCCUGGAGUGGAUUUAAAGCCACUGGAAAUUAAGUGUGCGGGGUGACAUCAUCAUGCAGCCUCUCUCAUGUGUUCCUCUUUGGUCCUAAAUUCAGAUUUCUGUGCUCGAUGAAUACCAUGAAUGCAGUGCUGCAUGCAUUUGCGCGUCCGUCCAUGUGUGUAAUGUGUGCGUGCAGCACGGCGAGGCCUGUGGAUUUUUAUGGCGCUCAGGCUCUUAAGGUGAGUAAAUUCAGUGGCCCACUCCAUGACAUCAUGACGGAUGAGUUAAUCAUAUCAAAGUUUCAUUGGGUGAGUCAUACGAGCACUAAAACCUGCUGGGUUUCCCAUCCUGAGCGAGGUACAGUAUCUUCUAUUUGGUCCAGAUUUUAAAACACGCCACAUCGGAACAACGUGGAAAAAUGAGGGGCGACGUUAAAUGUAAGCUUCCUCAUUUUCUUGACAUACUCUUCAGGUAGCUAAAUGCUAACACAGAGAUUUAAAGUGACCUGCCCUCCACUGCUGCUGUCAGACCGCCGCUGGUCUCCAAACACAUUAGUUUAUGUAGCCGCCAUGAGAGCGAUUCACUCUUAAUUGGAAAGUGAAUGUAUUGCAGUGCAUCACAUCACAUAAGAAUGGUGGUGGGGUAAUCGUAGGUCUGUGUGAACAUAACUGAACAUGAGCGCCUCUUCUGUCUGUGGAGCACACUUGGUUUUAAGGUCAAGGUAUAAAUGAGGUGUAGGUUCAGAUUGGGGUAAAUGUUGGAGGGUUAGAUGGUCGGGGUCAGGGUCGUACAUUAUGAUUACCCAGGUCCUCACAAGUAUCGAAACACUGUUACUAGAACAGAGGCAACGCUUUUGUCGAGCCCUUGAUCUCAGAAUUCUAAUUUGACUUCAGAAUUCUGCCUGUGAUGUCAGAAUUCUAGAACUACAAAAAUGUCAGAAUUUUGAGUCUAAAAAAAGAAUUUUGAGUUUUAAAACAAUUUGGAAUUUACUGUUUAAAUUUCAAUUUCUGACAGCAAAUUCUGAACUUUAAAGUCCUGGUUGACGAUCUGAGAAGCAGUUGGAAAAAACUGAGCUGUUGAGGCAGAUUUGAAAAAAGCGUCCCCCCCCCCUGAACCUGUAUCGCCCUCCCCAUGACACACCCCCUCUGGCAGAGCAAGAAGAUCCUACGCUAGCUUCAAAUAGGAUCCACCAUGUCGGAUUGUUAGUGACUAGCAGCAGUAAACGCCAGCUCUGCUAGCGAGCGCCGUCUGCAGCUGCCUGGACAGCUACCGUGUUGACAUGUCAGAGACUAAUAAGAGUUAUUUAUGAAACAUGAGCCACGAUAAAAGGAGAUAAAAAUGACCUGAUCAACAAAAACUCUGCUGUCUCGGCGUCUGUUUUCAGGACCAAAUCCUGGUGGAGCUUUCUCCACCGUUUCAAGGAGGACCAGAUGUUUAUUCACAUUAGAUUCCUCGCUUGGUCACAUUUCCUCUGUUUCUCCAUUCUUUCUUCUGUCGGCUUGCGUUUUCUUCCCACCUUUGGCGGUGGGUUCAAGCAGAAGUGUUUUUUUUUGCGUCCCAUUCCAUCACAGCUCCUGUAGCUAAGCUGCUACACUACUUUUAGUCAGGAGAGUGGGAGGGGACGAGUCGGAACUACAGGAGAAGGGUGUGUCGAAUACAGCGAGGUGAUUGGAGAUUGACCAAUAGGAGCUGUCUGGGACGGAUGGCUCCCAUUGGUCAAUGUUUUUACAGCCCUGCACCUGAUAGGGUGAACAGAAUUUUUCCGUUCUUUUUUCUCUUCACUGUACGGAGAUCGCACUAUAGGACCAUGAUCGCCAUAGAAACGAGGUUCAUAAUAAUUACCAAUCUCCCCAAUCGUCAACCAUGACGUGACAUAACUGGAAUGAUUUUUUAAACCUUCAUUUAACACGUUACAGCUCCAAAAAGAAGUUUUUUUUAUGUCUUUAAAUAGACUGAAAAUCAUGUUGAUGCCUUUUCAUGAUAUCCUAAAGUAAACAAGAGCGAGAAGAUUGGUGAUUUUCAUGUCUUAAUUUAAAAUGCCUGAAAAGGGUCGGAGGAGGUAAGCGUCAGCUAAGCAGCUUCUGAUUUGUUUCACAAUUUCCUCACAAAAUAUUCACAAUAAUUAAAAAGAUUUUGACUGUAAAGAGUCAGCAGUAGGAGAUUUUUGUGUAAUGACACUUCCUGAACACCAGUUCAUACAGGACUUUUUAUUUAAAAUGUCUAUAUUGUGAAACUGACUGCAUGAUGACUGAGCAUGUAAAAUACGACUCCUAUUUCACACCAGUGUCUGUUUUCAAACCCAUUUUUUGCGUCUGAACCAUCAUCGUGAGUAAAACGAUCUGGAUACCACCACAAUUUCAGACCAACUGUUGGGUUGCUGCAGAUAAAAGCAGCCUGUUUGUGUCUCAUUCAGUGUGUUGAACAGAAAUCAUAUUUCCGCCUGGCAUGAAAUCCGCCCCUGUAAACACUGAACAUAUUGACUGCAUUCACGUCCAUUGAGCUCUGAUUUCCUUCCUUCACAGAUCGUCACAAAUUCACAGAUAGGCGAAACAAUAGGUUCAGAUGAUCCUGCUUGUUCCAUCGUGAAAAUCCAAUUUUACCCAAAGGGAUUUAUUCUUUCAUCCGAUGUGUGUCAGCGGGGUUUCUCAGGGUAAGCUGGGAUGUGUUUUCAUGGAAUUCAGUGUUUAUGUGCGCGCUAUACGAUAAUAAAAUGACAUUUUUAGGGGAAUGAAACAAAUAAAGAAGGUGACGGGGGAGACGUGUUUCAUCACUGGAGUGAGAUUUCUCUCUGUGGAGGGAAGAGUUUUACCUCUGAGGGUUUGAUGUGUACUGUAAGCCUGUUUUUACAUCAAUAUCUUACUAACAUGUUUGUUUUGAAGAUAUUCAGGUUACAAGAUUGGCGAAUCUGCGGUUCCUGUUCAUUUGAAGCUCCAUCAGCCAACUUUGUCCCCAAAACAGACAUGCAAAUAAGUUAAUAAAAUAAUCAUUUUUCAACAUUUUUUCUUGCUUUUUUUGACUCAAAUCUCUUAAACAACUUCCGCCCUAACCACUGAAAAAAGUAAUGAAUAAAGAAUUCGAUGUAUCACCCUUUUUAUGCCAGUUUUUGUGCAACAUGUCAUAGUUAUUCAUAAAGUGUUCUAAACAGCUGAGUCUAUUGGAGCAGAAAAACUACAAAGUGACAUGGAGUUUUUAUUUAGUUGUUUUUUUUAAAAUAUAAAGUUAAAUUAGAACUCUCACCAAAUUUGAUGCCCCGAUCUUUAAAAAUGUGACUGUCAGCUCAAAAUAAAGAUGAAAAUAAAGAUGUCCCAGCUCACGAACUUUCAUAUUUCAUAAAUUCCUUUUAGCGUUUCUUCUCGCAGGUGAAUCCGUCUGCUCGUCUUUGCUUCAUGUGCGUCAUUUCUAGAAGCCUGACUGAGAAUCAGCACAGCUUGAAGUCCCUCAUGCGCUGCAUGGGUUGCACUUUAAUUAGACGUAACGAUGCCUGUAUGUAUUGUUGUCCAUGUCAAAUAAACUAAUAAUUAAAUAAGAGGGGAAAAAAAAACACCUAAUGAACCGGGGUCUCCACAGCACAUCCUCACUCCCCGCUCUGAACCUCUCGGGCACAUAAACAAACCCUCCACAAUUCACACUCAGCAGUGGCCUGACCCUGCAUUACUGACUCUAUCCAGCCGGCAUCUGCUGCUGCUGGGUGAGUCAGCUUCCUAUCAGCCACAGAGUCCCGAGUCACUCUGGCAUCCAGGAAAGAGUGUUCAGCACAGAUCCCCCCCUAAGCUUAGCAA